rnacentral:snRNA from 1 species
GUGCUCACUUGGCAGCACAUAUACUAAAACUGGAAUGGUGCAGACAUUCGCAUUGCCCCGUACAAGGAUAACAUGCUGGGUUUCUUUAACUACUUUUUU